AUGGUGCUUCGGCUGGGUAAGAAUAAUCUAGCCGGUCAAUUUCCUAGUUUACCUAGUCAUCUGCAAGAGCUGCACCUCUCCCACAAUGAUCUCAUUGGAACCAUUCCUUCCUCUCUUGCCAAUAUCACAACACUGAGAAUGCUCAUUUUCGCGUUUAAUAACAUUGAGGGCAAUCUCCCAAAUGACUUGGCAAAGCUGCACAAGCUGCAGUUCCUCUACGGGGCUGCUAACAAGUUGACAGGCGCGUUCCCACAUGCCAUCUUAAAUAUGUCUGCUCUCAAUGGUCUAGGUGGGGAGGUACCAUCCGACCUUGGUAACCAUCUUCCUGACCUCCAACUUCUUCAAUUGGCUAUCAACUUCUUUCAUGGCCAUAUCCCCUAUUCAUUGAUAAAUGCUUCCAAGCCAUACGAAAUAGAUAUAUCAAGUAAUAAUUUUACUGGUGUAGUACAUAGUGCUAUCGGCAAACUCACCAAACUGUCUUACUUGAAUCUUGAAUUCAAUCAAUUCCAUGCUCGUAACAAACAAGAAUGGGAGUUUAUGAGCAGCUUAGCGAAUUGCACCGAGUUACAGAUUUUCUCAAUGAAAGGGAAUCGCCUACAAGGAAAUAUACCAAGUUCAUUGGGAAACCUUUCUGAUCAGCUUCAGCAUCUCUUUUUGGGAACAAAUAAAUUAUCAGGAGGUUUUCCUUCUGGCAUAGAAAAUCUUCGAGGCCUAUUCAGUUUAGGGUUAGAAGAAAACCAGUUUACAGGUGUUUUUCCAGAAUGGCUUGGAACUCUACACAAUUUACAAGGAAUAGAGCUAGCUAACAACUCCUUUACAGGGGUUAUUCCAUCAUCCCUCACAAACUUAUCUCAGCUGACAGAACUCCUUCUAUAA
rnacentral:rRNA from 1 species